rnacentral:tRNA from 1 species
AUUGUCAUGGCCGAGUGGUUAAGGCGAUGGACUUAAAAUAUAUUGGAAUCUUCCCGCGCAGGUUCGAAUCCUCCCGACAUCG